GAUGAACGCUGGCGGCGUGCUUAACACAUGCAAGUCGAACGAUGAAGCCCAGCUUGCUGGGUGGAUUAGUGGCGAACGGGUGAGUAACACGUGAGUAACCUGCCCUUAACUCUUGGAUAAGCCUGGGAAACUGGGUCUAAUACCGGAUAGGAGCGUCCACCGCAUGGUGGGUGUUGGAAAGAUUUAUCGGUUUUGGAUGGACUCGCGGCCUAUCGGCUUGUUGGUGAGGGAAUGGCUCACCACGGCGACGGCGGGUAGCCGGCCUGAGAGGGUGACCGGCCACACUGGGACUGAGACACGGCCCAGACUCCUACGGGAGGCAGCAGUGGGGAAUAUUGCACAAUGGGCGCAAGCCUGAUGCAGCGACGCCGCGUGAGGGAUGACGGCCUUCGGGUUGUAAACCUCUUUCAGUAGGGAAGAAGCGAAAGUGACGGUACCUGCAGAAGAAGCACCGGCUAACUACGUG
rnacentral:rRNA from 1 species